rnacentral:rRNA from 1 species
UACGAAGGGUGCAAACGUUGCUCGGAAUUAUUGGGCGUAAAGCGCACGUAGGCGGCAUUGCAAGUCGGAUGUGAAAUCCCUCGGCUUAACCAAGGAAGUGCAUCCGAAACUGCAGUGCUUGAGUACUUAAGAGGAUCGCGGAAUUCCCGGUGUAGAGGUGAAAUUCGUAGAUAUCGGGAGGAACUCCAGUGGCGAAGGCGGCGAUCUGGGAAGAUACUGACGCUGAGGUGCGAAAGCGUGGGGAGCAAACAGG